rnacentral:rRNA from 1 species
UACGUAGGGCGCAAGCGUUGUCCGGAAUUAUUGGGCGUAAAGAGCUCGUAGGCGGCUUGUCACGUCGGGUGUGAAAAGCCCGGGGCUUAACCCCGGGUCUGCAUUCGAUACGGGCAGGCUAGAGUGUGGUAGGGGAGAUCGGAAUUCCUGGUGUAGCGGUGAAAUGCGCAGAUAUCAGGAGGAACACCGGUGGCGAAGGCGGUUCUCUGGGCAGUAACUGACGCUGAGGAGCGAAAGCGUGGGGAGCAAACGGG